AAAAUAAAAAAAACUAAUUGUUACCUCAAUAUGGGUGAAUUGCAACAACAAUAUUUUUCUACAAAUUUAAAAUACUUUUAAGAAAAUUAAAAUGUGGAGGAUUUAAAGUGUUUACGAAAUUAUAUCAAAAUAUAUCAAAAUGCAUGUCUAUUUAUAGAGAAUUUAAUUUUAUGACCGUUGGUAAUUUUUUUAUUUUUUUGUACAAAAUAUAUUUUUCAGAAAAUCAAUUACAAAUAUAUAACCGUUGUAAACGGCUAUAAUUUUUUGAUUGGCUAGAACCUGCGCAAGCCACGUGUCAUCGCCCCAUUCGCCAACCCAUUGUCACGCGUCAGAUUCUCUCUUUUUUUUUUUUAAAUCUGCUUUGAUGAACAGUAACCCAACUACAAAUAUACUUAUUUUUUCCAUUCUGUCUGACAAAACUACGGCCCACUUGAAUUACUGUUCAUCAAUAAAAAUGCUCAUGUUUUGAGCUUUUUUGGUUUUAUUUAUGGGCUUUUUUUUUGGAUUUUAUCAUUUUCUCACCAUUGUGGUUGGUGAUCAAAUUUUUUUGCUCACAAAAAAUGCUUAUGAGCAAAAAAAAACACUUACCAUUGCUAGUGCUCUAAGCUUCCACUCUCUCUCCUCAGCUCAAUAUUAGCAGAAACUUUCUUUCUCUCUCCUCUCAUUUCCAGCUUCUGCUACUCGGGGAUUUCUUCGUUCUCCAGUGGUAGAAGAAGCGUAUGAGGAGAUUGAAGAGGAAGCGCCGAAAGAUGAGACAGAGAUCAAAGUAGAAGAAGAUCUACAGCUUUCAUGAUUUUUUCAGUGUUGUUGCAGCUUUUUUCUGGCGCCCAUGGCGAAUCGACGGCGGCGCCACCACCACCUCUACCACAGCAACACCAGCAUCAGCCGCCUUUCUCGCUGAUUUCUUCCCGCUGUUACCUCCAUCGUCGGCGUCUUCUUCCUCUGCUUCUUCGCUCUCUCGCUUCUCGCUCCUCGUCCUUCUCGCCUCCUUCACCAUGGCCACUCUCGCAGCUCAUCUUCCAUCUCUUUGGUUGACGAUGCUUCCGUCGGAGUUUCGAUCUCUUCCGUUCCGGAUAUUGGAGGAAAAUCUAAACUUGAUAUUUGGAGGUCUAUAGAUUCUGAAUUUUUCUACUGUUGUAGCAAUGCAAGCAGUAAAUUUAUCAGAGAAAGCAUCAUAUGUUAAUGAGCGGCAGAAGUUAUCUUAUGAUAAGGAGCAGCGGGAGAAGGAUGAGUUAUCUGUUACCUUAUUUUUGUAAAUAGUGACUUCAAUGUGGUCAAUGUUGUCAAAAUUGAUAUAAUUACCUUAUUUUUAUAUAUAGUGACCUUCGUUAUUUUUAUAUAUAGUGACCUCUAUAUAAAUGUGGUCAAA